UACGUAGGGUGCAAGCGUUGUCCGGAAUUAUUGGGCGUAAAGAGCUCGUAGGCGGCUUGUCACGUCGACUGUGAAAACCCGGGGCUCAACUCCGGGCCUGCAGUCGAUACGGGCAGGCUAGAGUUCGGUAGGGGAGACUGGAAUUCCUGGUGUAGCGGUGAAAUGCGUAGAUAUCGGGAGGAACACCAGUGGCGAAGGCGGCUAUCUGGGCUGGAACUGACGCUGAGGCGCGAAGGCUAGGGGAGCAAACAGG
rnacentral:rRNA from 1 species